UAUAUAUAGGGAUGCAAAUGGAUCCGGGUUGGUGGAGCUCCGUCCCAAUCCGCCCCGAAUGGGGUGGUAAGUGGGAACAAAAAAUAUAAAAAAAUAUAACCCGCCCCGAAUCCGCCCCAAUUCGCCAAGUAAAUGGAGCGGGAGGCGGGAGGCUCUUUUCUUCCUUCAAUCCGCCCCGAUCCGUCAAAAACCCGGCUCCCGCCCCGAUCCGCCCCGAAUGGAGCGGUAAGUGGGAGCCAAAAAUAAAAUGAAAAGUAACCCGCCCCGAAUCCGCCCCGCCCCCAUAAGAAAUGGAGCGGGAGGUGGGAGAACUCUCCCGCCCCCGGAUCCGCCCCGUUUGCAUCCCUAGAUAUAUAAGAAAAUUAAAAAAAGCUUUUCGAGGGUAAAUUUGAAACAACGAGUAAAAGAAAUAAUUUUUAAAUUUUACAAGGGUAUAAAGAGAAUUUUUUUCAAAAAUAGGGUUAAUUUCAUACGUGUCCUUGUAAAGAUAUUAAAUUAUAAAUAUAUUCCUGUAAAGUUAAAAUGAUCAAAUUAGUUCUUUAAGAAUAUAAUAUUAUUGUAUAUAUAUCCUUACUGUUAGUCUCUCCGUUAGCAAUAUUUGCUUGAUCAUGGAUAAAACUGAAUUAUAAAACUUAACUAUUCAAAAAGUAAACUAACUUUUUCACCCCCUUACAUUUAAUUUUCAUUAGCUCCUUAGCUCCAUAACCAUCUUUAUCCCUCUCCUUAUCACCACCACCAUUUCCCUUUU
rnacentral:lncRNA from 1 species